rnacentral:rRNA from 1 species
ACGGAGCAAUCCUGGUGGCGAGUGGCGAACGGUGAGUAAUAUNUCGGAACGUGCCAGUCGUGGGGAUAACGUAGCGAAAGUUACGCUAAUACCGCAUACGAUCUAAGGAUGAAAGCGGGGAUCGCAAGACCUCGCGCGAUUGGAGCGGCCGAUAUCAGAUUAGGUAGUUGGUGAGGUAAAGGCUCACCAAGCCAACGAUCUGUAGCUGGUCUGAGAGGACGACCAGCCACACUGGAACUGAGACACGGUCCAGACUCCUACGGGAGGCAGCAGUGGGGAAUUUUUGGACAAUGGACGCCAAGUCUGAUCCAGCCAUUCCGCGUGCAGGAUGAAGGCCCUCGGGUUGUAAACUGCUUUUGUACGGAACGAAAAGGUUUGUCUUAAUACGAUGAGCUCAUGACGGUACCGUAAGAAUAAGCACCGGCUAACUACGUG